UUUUCCCAAACCUGCGGUGGGCAGAGAAGCACUAAGCGAAGGAAGGUGAUUUCUGUCUCAGUGUUUCCCAGCCACACUAGUGGGCCAUAGUUGAUGGGAUGGAUUUGCACUGUGUGCAGUUGUCACCUUCCUUCGCUUAGUGCUUCCCUGCCCACCACAGGUUUGGGAAA